GAUGAACGCUGGCGGCGUGCCUAAUACAUGCAAGUCGAGCGAACGGACGAGAAGCUUGCUUCUCUGAUGUUAUCGGCGGACGGGAGCGUAACACGUGGAUAACCUAACUAUAAGACUGGGAUAACUUCGGGAAACCGGAGCUAAUACCGGAUGAUAUUUUGAACCGCAUGGUUCAAAAGUGAAAGACGGUCUUGCUGUCACUUAUAGAUGGCUCCGCACUGCAUUAGCUAGUUGGUAAGGUAACGGCUUACCAAGGCAGCGAUGCAUAGCCGACCUGAAGGGGUGAAUGGCCAGCUGGGAACAGAGACACGGUCGAGACUCUGGCAGUGGGAAACAGUAGAGAAUCUUCCGCGAUGCGCGAAAGCCUGACGGAGCAACGUCGCGGGAGGGAUGAAGGUCUUCUGAUCGUAAAACGCUGAUAGUAGGGAAGAACAUAUGUGUAAGUAACUGUGCACAUCUUGACGGUACCUAAUCAGAAAGCCACGGCUAACUACGUG
rnacentral:rRNA from 1 species